UACGGAGGGUGCGAGCGUUGUCCGGAAUCACUGGGCGUAAAGGGCGCGUAGGCGGCCUGAUAAGUAGGGGGUGAAAUCCUGCGGCUUAACCGCAGGGCUGCCUUCUAAACUGUCGGGCUAGAGCACGGUAGAGGCAGAUGGAAUUCCCGGUGUAGCGGUGGAAUGCGUAGAGAUCGGGAGGAACACCAGCGGCGAAGGCGGCAUCCUGGACUGGUACUGACGCUCAUGAGCGAAAGCGUGGGGAGCGAGUCCGG
rnacentral:rRNA from 1 species